rnacentral:lncRNA from 1 species
AACGCCUAUCACGUGGCGUAAGGAUACUAAGAAUCAAAAGAAGAACGAAUGGAGUAAAGUCCUAUCAUUUGAAGCGGCUACGAGACCCCAAAGUCUCAUUUAUUAUUUUUGUUUAUUUACUUAUUGUCGUCUUCAUUUAUUUAUUUAUUUAUUUCCUUAUUUAUUCAUUUGGGCCUCGAAGCCAAAGUUGUACUUAAUACAGGUGAAGCGAGACUCGAGCUAAAGGCUCGAAAACAUAGAAUUAGGACA